rfam:Lucilia cuprina strain LS Scaffold118, whole genome shotgun sequence.
AUUCCAAGUCAGUCCAUCAUUUGGCAACCUAACUGUAUUAGAAUUGUUAGCUGCCUUGUGAAGGGCUUCCUUGUAAU